CCAAUUUGAGAGGUCUGAAUGGCAAGUUGGAGAUGCAAAAUUGGAAGUCAGCAGAGAAUUUGGGUCAGAAAAGAUAAAUUUGAGAAUCAUCAGCAUUGAGUUGAUAGUUAAAACCAUGGGAGCUGAUGAAAUCAUCCAGUGUAGCAGUUAAGAGGGGGUGAAGUGAAGGAGGAUCUAGCAAAAGAGACAGAAAAGGAGCACUCAGAUUAGUUAGGUAGGACAAUUGGGAGAAAGUGGUGUCCCAAAAACUUGAGGACAGAGUAUUAAGGAAAGAAGUAUCAGCAGCGUCAAAGGAGCAAUUGUAAUAUUUUUAUUUAUAUGGUAUCUUUAUUAAAAUUUCUUUGGAUCAUUUUUAGCACCAAGAAUCCUGAUACUCUCCGUCUUUAUAUGAAUCCAAUGCAAUCUCCCUCUUAACUGUUCUUAAAUGAAACAAUACCAAAUAUUAGAUUAACUGCAAUUUUUUUUUUUAAAUCAUGGAUUCCAAAGACUAGUCAUGUGAAAUCAGAUAAGAAAAAUCUAUUCUCCCUAGAGAAGAGAAGGAAGUUUCAUCACUAGUUGUUCCCAGCAGGAGAAGCCAGAUACAGGCUUUUCAACAAUGUGUUCAGUUGAUUCUGCUCAUUAUUUGCAAUUGUGACAACUGCAGUGGAAGUAACAAUAGCAGUACUAGCAUUUAACUCUGAUUCCACAAAUUCAGAAGCUCUCUUCUAUUCUUUCUCCUCUUCUUUGUCUGUCUCUAUCUCUCUCCCCCUGUCUUUCUUUCUCCCUCCUAUUCUCUCUCCUUGUCUCUGAUUCUCUGUUUCUGUCUGUCUCUGUAUGUCUCUUUCUCCUUCCCUUUUUUUCUCUUUCCUUGUCUCUUUCACUCUCUCUCUCCAUGUCUUUCUCUCCUCAUCUCUCUCUCCAUCUCUCUUCUUUUUCUCUGAUUCACUGCAUGCAGACUGUUAGAGGAGGUGGGAAUAAAUCAAACAAUGGCUGUUUGAUUUAACUUCACACUACAUCAAGGUGGAAGUUUAUCUCAUUCAUUACCACAAAGUAGUCACAUCUUCUUCUGAGCAUACUACUCAACUCUCAUUCUUCACAAGAUCUUUGCUCUCCAUUUCCUUCAAGAUCAGAGAAAAGAAGGAAUUAAAGCUUAGGAUCCUUGAAUUAGAAUAUGUUGGUUGAGGUGUGCCCCAUCCUAGACUUCCAUCCCAGCUGUAUUGCAGCCCCUCGGGUAAAAGACUACAUAUCUAUUAAUUUUAACACAGUAGGAUUAACACUGCUCCACUUGUCUAUGUCUCCUUCUGAACUUCCUUCUGCUCUUCUCUGUGUGCUUUCUAAAAUGUUUUUGUGAUGCUCUACUCCUUUCUUUUCAAUUUCUCUGUCUUUAGGCUGCCUAUCCUCAAAAUUAAACAAAUUUCUUCCCUCCCUUAACCUCAUGUUUCCUAGACUCACUAUUUCUCUGGCUCUCAUUUACCUUCAGCUUUCUAUCCCCUUACCCUUCUUUCCUUCUCCCUUUACCCAGCCAUCAGUUCUGGGCUUUCUUCCACCAAGAAUUGCUCCUUUUCAUCCUGGCCUAUGACACUUGAGUAUCUCAGCUUGGAUAAAAAAAAAAAAAAGGCAUGAUAUUCAUAUCGAAAUCAAAAUCAAAAACCUGGGUGACUAACUCACAGAAUGGUGCAUGAGAAGAGGGUUAAAAAUGUAGUCUCCUUCAUCCUUCUGCUCCUAGAAGGCAAUAUCUUUCUCCAAAUCCUUCCAAUCAGUCAUUCCUCUUCACUUUCCUCUAUGUGCUGAAUCCUCUUUAAUAAAUUACAAUUCUUUCCAACCACCAAGCCCUUAUAAAUGCAUAGGAGCUCCAGGUAAUGAUAAAGAGUUAAAGGAAAUUUUUAUUAAAUUCAAACCCAUAAAUCCCCUAAUUCUUCCUAAUUCCUUUCUCCCCUCCCCCACCACUCCUCUCACCCCUGGAGACUUGGAAUCCAAAGUUAGAUACCCUCAGACCUUUACCCUGACCCCUACGAAAGAGAUUUCAGGGAGGAAUUGAAAAAAAUGGGUCUGGGAAGAGUUCCAAAUUUCAUGGAAGUCUAUCCCUUAUCAGGGUCACUUCUGAGACAGUAAACAGACUUGCCCUAUACCCCUCUCAACUGGGACCUGGGAAUUUAGGAAAGUUAUGUUAUUCAACUGCCCUGCCCUAGGCUUGAUCUCAUGUUACCUCUGUGAAGUCUGUAUGUCUAUCCUUUCUAUGGGGUAUCUGGUGUCUUGAGUAUCUUGGUGGAGAGGGGGAAAAGAGGAAGGGAACAAGCAUUUAUUAAGCAUCAACUAUGUACAAGGAACUGUAUUGUUCUUUACAAAUAAUGUUUCAUUUGAUCUUCACAAAAACACAGGGAGACAGGUGCUAUUUUUAUUUUACCGCUGAAGAAUUAAGGAAGACAGAAGUUAAAUGAUCAUACAGGUCUGCUGUAACAAGACCUCUGCUAAACACUGAGCGCUGUGCUAGAGUCAGGAUUGUUUGUUACCUUGGGGAGAGGAAGGAAAAAAAUUUGGACCACAGCGUUUUACAAAAAUGGAUGUGGAAAACUAUUUAUAUAUGUAUUGGUAAAA